GAUGAACGCUAGCUACAGGCUUAACACAUGCAAGUCGAGGGGCAGCAUGGUCUUAGCUUGCUAAGGCCGAUGGCGACCGGCGCACGGGUGAGUAACACGUAUCCAACCUGCCGUCUACUCUUGGACAGCCUUCUGAAAGGAAGAUUAAUACAAGAUGGCAUCAUGAGUCCGCAUGUUCACAUGAUUAAAGGUAUUCCGGUAGACGAUGGGGAUGCGUUCCAUUAGAUAGUAGGCGGGGUAACGGCCCACCUAGUCUUCGAUGGAUAGGGGUUCUGAGAGGAAGGUCCCCCACAUUGGAACUGAGACACGGUCCAAACUCCUACGGGAGGCAGCAGUGAGGAAUAUUGGUCAAUGGGCGAGAGCCUGAACCAGCCAAGUAGCGUGAAGGAUGACUGCCCUAUGGGUUGUAAACUUCUUUUAUAAAGGAAUAAAGUCGGGUAUGGAUACCCGUUUGCAUGUACUUUAUGAAUAAGGAUCGGCUAACUCCGUGCCAGCAGCCGCGGUAAUACGGAGGAUCCGAGCGUUAUCCGGAUUUAUUGGGUUUAAAGGGAGCGUAGAUGGAUGUUUAAGUCAGUUGUGAAAGUUUGCGGCUCAACCGUAAAAUUGCAGUUGAUACUGGAUAUCUUGAGUGCAGUUGAGGCAGGCGGAAUUCGUGGUGUAGCGGUGAAAUGCUUAGGUAUCACGAAGAACUCCGAUUGCGAAGGCAGCCUGCUAAGCUGCAACUGACAUUGAGGCUCGAAAGCGUGGGUAUCAAACAGGAUUAGAUACCCUGGUAGUCCACACGGUAAACGAUGAAUACUCGCUGUUUGCGAUAUACUGCAAGCGGCCAAGCGAAAGCGUUAAGUAUUCCACCUGGGGAGUACGCCGGCAACGGUGAAACUCAAAGGAAUUGACGGGGGCCCGCACAAGCGGAGGAACAUGUGGUUUAAUUCGAUGAUACGCGAGGAACCUUACCCGGGCUUAAAUUGCAGAUGAAUUACGGUGAAAGCCGUAAGCCGCAAGGCAUCUGUGAAGGUGCUGCAUGGUUGUCGUCAGCUCGUGCCGUGAGGUGUCGGCUUAAGUGCCAUAACGAGCGCAACCCUUGUUGUCAGUUACUAACAGGUUCCGCUGAGGACUCUGACAAGACUGCCAUCGUAAGAUGUGAGGAAGGUGGGGAUGACGUCAAAUCAGCACGGCCCUUACGUCCGGGGCUACACACGUGUUACAAUGGGGGGUACAGAGGGCCGCUACCACGCGAGUGGAUGCCAAUCCCCAAAACCUCUCUCAGUUCGGACUGGAGUCUGCAACCCGACUCCACGAAGCUGGAUUCGCUAGUAAUCGCGCAUCAGCCACGGCGCGGUGAAUACGUUCCCGGGCCU
rnacentral:rRNA from 1 species